rnacentral:rRNA from 1 species
UACGGGGGGAGCAAGCGUUGUUCGGAUUUACUGGGCGUAAAGGGCGCGUAGGCGGCCAGCACAAGUCAGUUGUGAAAUCUCCGAGCUUAACUCGGAAAGGUCAACUGAUACUGUGCGGCUAGAGUGCGGAAGGGGCAACUGGAAUUCUUGGUGUAGCGGUGAAAUGCGUAGAUAUCAAGAGGAACACCUGCGGCGAAGGCGGGUUGCUGGGCCGACACUGACGCUGAGGCGCGAAAGCCAGGUGAGCGAACGGG